GAGCAUCCCGUCCCGGCAACAACGAGUAUCGAGGCAGGCUGCCAGGCGUUCAUUCUGCCUUUACCCUGCCUAGGUUGACGAGAGCAGGGGAUGCGGGAGGAGGUCCUACGGCGGGCUGGCAGCUUGGGGCUGAUUCCGGCAGCACCCUGGUGAUCCUGGGCAGAGGCUGCUUCUCCCAUUCGCCCUGCAGAGAGAGUUAGAUGUUAGCAGGAGACUGAUUGCAAGGAGCGAAUGGCUAGCGCACACAUUCCUCGACCACUAUUCCUCGGGGAAAUGAAUGAAGGCCCUGAUUCAGCAAGAACCACGAAUGGUGCCGUGAGAGACCUCUCCCAGAUUCCACCCCCGCAGCAGCUUCAAUGACAUGUCAGGCAAUCUGCUUCCCUUCAACAUGCUGCCCUGAGUGUUAGUAACUGUGAUGAACAUACAUUCUCUGAAGGGAUGGGUUCAAGUCAUUGCCCUGCGAGAUUUCCCUUCACCUCCCUACCUUCUAAGGAACUCCGAGCCAGAUUCUGAAGGUGUUUGAAGCACCUAAAGCUGCAGAUAGGUGGCUAGUGGCAUUGACAGAAGUGCCUAAGCAGGUUAGGUGCUUAACUCCCAUUGACUUCCCUGGCGUUCAGUCAGAAAGGCACCUGGGUUAACUUCUUUGGAGUUAUUAAUGAAGCUGGUCAGAACAUUUCUACAGACAUGAAAUUUUGCAGGGGCAUUUGUGAAUUUUUCUGCCACAAAAGUGUGUUCUGCCAACUUUGUCUAUUCCUGCUGAUGAUGAUAAUGUGAUUGCACGAUCCCUGGAAUAGCUGUUGGACAAAUGGGUUCCGAUUGCUUAUAUUUAGUAAUCACGCUGACUAUUUCUUUCCUGUUACGUUUGUAUGGGAAGCUCCUGCCGGGGCUGGAGCACUCCGUGCAGAGACUGGCUCGUAGCUGGAGGCAGAGAGUCUUCCAGGGGUGGAGACUUGUGGACGGUAAUGACGGCUGGGUCGCUGAGGGAGAUGGGCUAAUGUAGCACCAUCCGCUCCAUGGCUACCUCUAACCAAGCACCUAUGGAGCAUGCAAAGUGAACGUUGCCCACUCAGCCAAUAUCGAACCUCACCAUGCAGAGCUGAUUUACCUAGCAAGUGCUUAGAUGCUAAGGAACUGAGACCUGUGAGAAAGUCUGUCUGUCAAGGGUUACUGGCUUCACUUAUUAUCAUAGCCAGUAGGAUAAAAUAAUGUAAGGGAAUCUGGUUUUAAAGGCCAGAAGAGACCAUUACGAUCAUGUAGACUGACUGCCCAUAUAACACAGGCCAAAGCACUUCCCCCAGGUGCUGCUGUUUAAGCAAAGCAUCUCCGAUACUGGGGAGCUGCUGUUGUUGCUUCUGCUGUCACUCACCGGGAAGACAGAAACCACUUUCUUUAACAUGCGGAUCUCCUAAAAGAAGAAAAACAACAACGCUGGAGUUAGAUGCAACCAGUUCCCCCUUUGCUACCCCAUCUUCCCUGUUAAGCGUUGAUGAGUCUAGUUAGGAGCAGCACUGAAUCCGCUUUGCACCCUUGUGUGCGGGAGAUGAGACCGACCACUGAACGAUAGCAGGGUCGUUUUCAUGAUGGUGUGAUGCUGCGGGCAAUGGGGAAAGGAGAGUACCUGGAAGUGAGGGCUGUAGUGAUUGUCCGCAUUCACAACUUCCCUUUCUCUCCCUUCUCGGGACAAAAUCGUCACCACCUUUCUUCCCGUCAGGUGAGUGUGGAGCUGGGAGGCAAAGAUGUGGAUCCCAGCCGGGGGCAGAGCCUGGAAAAACAAUCCCGUGGGAAUAUCCAGGCUUGUACGGGCCGAAUAAUGACAAAUGACUAAAUCAACCAACAUCACUCCCUCUUUCCCAAAGAGCUCUCAUCAGUUCCCUUGAGGAACUGAGCAUGGCUUCUGCGGGAGGGGUGUGGCAGGCACUUAAAGGGACAGUGUCAAGUGAUUUUAAAUGGAGGUUUGUUUGUAUAAUCUCUUAGAAGCUUGAAAAUAAAUGUUCAUUUGGGAACCCGCAGAUCAGUCUGUCUAGCCCUGAUUUACUGCCCACCACCUUCUAAUGCAGCAGAAGCUGCCCUGGCCGGGCACUGUGGACUUCCUUAUGUUUGUUAGCGCACAGCACCAACUAUUGGUUUUGC